UGUACACAGCAGUGCCCUGGGGCCAACCGC
rnacentral:piRNA from 1 species